UGUAACUUGGUGUAUUUAGCAUAUUAUGUUUUGGUCGUAAUGGAGGCUUGUAGCUGGUUGCAG
rnacentral:tRNA from 1 species